rnacentral:miRNA from 1 species
UGUGUGUGUGUGUGUGUGUGUUUGUGUGUGUGUAUGUGUGUGUGUGUGCGCACACACACACACACACACACACAAU